rnacentral:lncRNA from 1 species
UGUGUUGUACGAUCUAUAAAGAUAUCAUCCUUAUCUUGGAUUGCCAAAUCUCGUUAGAAUUUGAAUAAGAUCAAUAUACAUCAGUGUUUUAUUGUACGGUCGUCAAAAAAUAUUCACGUGUUUAUGUAUAUCGACCUCUUGUUCUCAAUCAGGACUACACGAGAUUAUUCCUGAACACUGAACAAAAACUCAAUAUAUAUUUAUCUUUUUUUAAAAAAUAAAAAUAAAAGAAAAACAGUUUAUAAAAUUCUAAAUCAGAAGCUAAUUUAUCUUAAGUAAACCAAAGCAAAACCAAGGAUCUUCUCUCUCACCCAAUUUAUUAUGGUCCACAUUUUGUUGUGUUUGGGGGGUACG